CCUACGGGAGGCUGCAGUGAGGAAUAUUGGUCAAUGGUCGGGAGACUGAACCAGCCAAGCCGCGUGAGGGAUGAAGGUACAGAGUAUCGUAAACCUCUUUUGUCAGGGAACAAAGGCGGGGACGUGUCCCCGGCUGAGUGUACCUGACGAAAAAGCAUCGGCUAACUCCGUGCCAGCAGCCGCGGUAAUACGGAGGAUGCGAGCGUUAUCCGGAUUUAUUGGGUUUAAAGGGUGCGCAGGCGGUCUGUUAAGUCAGCGGUCAAAGCCCGGGGCUCAACCCCGGCCCGCCGUUGAAACUGGCAGGCUAGAGUGGGGGAGAAGUAUGCGGAAUGCGCGGUGUAGCGGUGAAAUGCAUAGAUAGCGCGCAGAACUCCGAUUGCGAAGGCAGCAUGCCGGGUCCACACUGACGCUGAGGCACGGAAGCGUGGGUAUCGAACAGGAUUAGAUACCCGAGUAGUC
rnacentral:rRNA from 1 species